rnacentral:lncRNA from 1 species
GUUUGUAGAAGGCACUGAUGGAUGCUUCCCCCUGUGAAAGGAGGACCUCCCAUCAGUUCUGCUUUUUAAACAGUGACCUCAAGAGAAGCUCUGCAGGAUGAAAGGGUUAUUAUGUGACUGGACACCUUGAGUCACCUGGGACCAUGGUGCAUACCAGGACCCUGUAUAUGCCUCGAAUAGAAGCACAGCCCGAGGACAACAUAAAAGACAAUAGAAACAGUGAAUAGGACAGGUGGGUUGAGACAGACAUAGUACUUUUCUCCCUUUGUCAUUUUAAAUACUUUCAUCUUUUGUU